UACGAAGGGGGCUAGCGUUGUUCGGAAUCACUGGGCGUAAAGCGCACGUAGGCGGACUUUCAAGUCAGGGGUGAAAUCCCGGGGCUCAACCUCGGAAUUGCCUUUGAUACUGUAAGUCUCGAGUCCGGAAGAGGUGGGUGGAAUUCCUAGUGUAGAGGUGAAAUUCGUAGAUAUUAGGAAGAACACCGGUGGCGAAGGCGGCCCACUGGUCCGGGACUGACGCUGAGGUGCGAAAGCGUGGGGAGCAAACAGG
rnacentral:rRNA from 1 species